AUCGGUAACAGUAUUUAAACUGCAAGCAGACUAGCUUGUAGAACCCCUGGGACCGCCCACUGCGCAAAAUAUUAACCAAUUAGCAAUCAAUAAGUUUCGCUACGCGAGAGGAUCUCUCUCUGGUUGGUGGCUGAGCGGUCUGGACGUCUCUCCUGCUACGCGCUAAACACUUUGGAUUUUAAUAAGUUUGUGAGUAAAUAUUGCAGGCUAAGCAGCAUCUGCAGCUUUACUAAAGCUAGAAAGCUUAAGUUCGCUAAUUUAGCCGCUAAACUGACCGUGAGGAGGACCGCUGGUGACUUUCGUGACUCGCACACGGGAGCCGAAUUAUCGUCAGGGGUUGCCAGAUCGGAAUGAAACCCCUAGAUUGGAUUUGCAGCUCUGACCCGUUUGGUUGAAACAGGCAUCUUAACACCGCCAGGAUUCGAUGCAGCACCCGGUACCUCCACGGCUUGUGAACCUGGCGCUUUGACUGCAUUUAGGCCCUGUUUAACAAGCAGUCCUGGGGGCCUGCCACAGUGUGGAGAGAGUCAAAGUGCUGAUGAUGAGUCAGCUUCCCGUGGAAAACGUCCAAGAACGUGUCUGAGUACAAAUAACAGCUCGAUUUCACACGGGAAACGUCUUCGGUUAGAUGAUCGUUACAAAUCUGUGGAUUUGCAUACCAGUGACCGAGCUGCAUGUGGUGGUGGUGUGGAGCAGACAGGAGCGGCUUCGGAGUUUGACGCUGUUGUCUGGACUGAAGCUUUUGAAUACGUGGGACCAGAACAGUUUCACAGAAAAGCCGGAUGAUGCUGUGGAUACUGGACUAAUUAAUACAGGACAAAUCCAAUAUCAGAAGUGAGAGACAUUGAUGGAGAGGUUUUAAAAGCAAAUCAGCUCAAAGCAGCUCUUACCUUUCUAGCGACAUUGGUGGGUCAGCAAUCUCAUGAAAUUACGAAAAAUACUAUUGAGCAGCGUAGACAAGGCGCUAUUGUGCGUAGAUUAAAUAAUAUUGUUCAGAAAUGAGCAGAAAAGAAUCAGGAAUUGGCAAAAGAAAAUCCUAUACUGUCUGAACAGGUAAAGCAUAUACAUGUGGUACAGGUUAUGCGCGAAGAACAAAACACAUUUUAAAUCUUUAACAGACGUAAUAUUUAAACUCAACAGGGUUUUACAGUUAAAAACUUCAACAAAAUUGUCUGUUUCAGGGUCAUCUAUGUAGUUAUUGGUUGGCAAUUUGAAAAUAUUUCCGUUCUUUACAUAUUCCUGUUUACCUGUUAAACAAACCACAUCAUCAGUACAUGAUAGAUUAUUGUUUUAAAUAAUAAUUAUUAGCAAAAAGAAGCAGACAAUAAAAAUAAUGGGGUCUAAAAGGUGUCGGGAGUCAGACAACACUCCAUGCGUUAGCGCAACAAAUGAUGUUUGGGCACAGAUGUCUAUUAG
ensembl:lncRNA